GGUGUACAUCAGCAUCCCACCCUUGAGUGAGUCAUCAGUCGACGAGUCUGGAUGCUGUCAAGAAGAGAUCAAUGCAGCUGCAGCAGCGAUCAAAGCGUGCGAUGAACUGACUCACGAAUGACUAAGGAACGAUCUGGCAGGAAAAGUGGUCAGAAAUCUACAUAGUUACAUAAAAAAAGCAGAAGAUUUUGUAUCACCAGAACUCAUUGUCUCAUGUUGACUCACGAGUUUCACCGACUGUCAGACACACAUACUAAUCACGAAGACAAAUUACAGAUCAAGAACAUUAUAUACCAUUUGGUGAAGGACUCGGUCGGAGUAUUACUGAGUGAACGAUAGCGGCAUCGUGAUGGAUGCCGAUCCUCACGUAAUCGCUUUAAUCCUUUAAUGCAGACAGUACUAAAACUUGUUUAACUGGUAUACCUUUCAUCACAACAGACGUACUGUACUGUUUGUUCUUA